rnacentral:rRNA from 1 species
GGGGUAAAAUUAAUAAAUUAAUUUUAAUAAAAAAAUUUUUAAUAAAAUAUUUUAAAGGGGGGGUUAAAGUAUAUUUAUAGAAAAAAUAAAUUAAUUUAUAGUUAAAUAGUAUUGUAAAAGAAUUUUGAAAUAAUUGAAAAUUAAAUUUUUUUAAAAGUAAUUUUUAUUUAAUGUAUCUUGGGUAUCAGAGUUUAUUAAAAAAAAUUAUUAAAUAAAAAAAUUCUCGAAUUUAAAAGAGAUAAUUAAUUAAUAAAGUUAUUGUAGCAUAAAUAUUUUAAAUAAUUAAUUGGAAAUGAAAUGUUAAUCGUUUUUAAAUAUAUCUAGUUUUUUUAGAAAAAAAUUUAAUUUUAUAUUAUUAAAAAAAAAAAUUAAUUAAUUAAUUUUUUUUUUUAAUAAUAAUAUAUUUUAAGGGAUAAGCUUUAAUUUAAAUUUAUAUAAAUAAAUUGAAAAAUUAAAUUGAAAAUUUUAUAAUUUAUAUUGUUAAAAAAAUUUAAUUUAUUAUAAAUAAUUUCAUUUAAAAUAAAAUUUAAUAAAAUUUUAUAUGGUUUAUAAAAAAAAAUUUUUUAAUAAAAUAAAAUUUGAUAUAAUGAUAAAAUUAGUAUAUAAUAAAAUAUAUAAAUGAAUAAUUUAGUAUAAAUAAUUAAUUAAAAGGAAUUCGGCAAAAAUUUAUAUUCACUUGUUUAUCAAAAACAUGUCUUUUUGAAAAUAAUAUAAAGUCUAAUCUGCCCACUGAUAUAAUAUUAAAGGGCUGCAGUAUAUUGACUGUACAAAGGUAGCAUAAUCAUUAGUCAUUUAAUUGAUGACUUGUAUGAAAGAUUGGAUGAAAUAUAAACUGUCUCUUAAUUAAAUAUAGAAUUUAAUUUUUAAAUUAAAAAGUUUAAAUAAUUUAAAAAGACGAGAAGACCCUAUAGAGUUUUAUAAAUUUAAUGAUUAAGAUUAUUUAUUAAAAAAAAAAUUAAAAUUAAUAAAUUUAUUUUGUUGGGGUGACAAAAAAAUAUAAAAAACUUUUUUUAAAAUAAAACAUAUAUAAAUGAUUAAAUGAUCCAUUAUUAUUGAUUAUAAGAAAAAAUUACCUUAGGGAUAACAGCGUAAUUUUUUUUUUUAGUUCUUAUAAAAAGAAAAGUUUGCGACCUCGAUGUUGGAUUAAGAUAAAAUUUAAAUGCAGUAGUUUAAAAUUUUUGAUCUGUUCGAUCAUUAAAAUCUUACAUGAUCUGAGUUCAAACCGGUGUAAGCCAGGUUGGUUUCUAUCUUUUAAAAAAUAAAAUAUUUUAGUACGAAAGGAUUAAAUAUUUAAAUUAAAUUUUUUAUUUUGAAUUUUAUUAAAAAUAAUUUAUAAAUUUAUAAUAAAUAAAUUAAUAUAUAUAUAUAUAUAUAUAUAUAUUU